UACUAUACUGAUGAAUAUUAUGAAAAUCUGAAUUAUUAAUAGAUAUGUUCUUUAAAUUUGAAGAAUUUGGCGGUAAUUUAGUCUUGUUAGAGGAACCUGUUUUUGAAUCGAUAUACCACGCAGAAUCUUGCUCAUCAUAUUAAAAGCUUAUAUACCAUCAUUAGCAGAUAAUUUUAAAAAAAUUAAUUAUUAAAGUUUAAAAAAGUUAAUUUAAAUUAGAUCAAGGUGUAGCCUAUAGGUGAGUUAAAAUGGGUUACAAUAAAAUUUAUUUAGAACGGAGCAAGUAUAGGAAGAAACCUUGUAGAAGGAGGAUUUAAUUGUAAUAUAAAUUUAAUAAGUUAAAAAGAUAUAAGCUCUAAAUUAU
rnacentral:rRNA from 1 species